rnacentral:rRNA from 1 species
GGACCAUCCUCCAAGGCUAAAUACUCCUGACUGACCGAUAGUGAACCAGUACCGUGAGGGAAAGGCGAAAAGAACCCCGGCGAGGGGAGUGAAAUAGAACCUGAAACCGUGUACGUACAAGCAGUGGGAGCCUUGAUUUAUCAGGGUGACUGCGUACCUUUUGUAUAAUGGGUCAGCGACUUAUAUUCUGUAGCAAGGUUAACCGAAUAGGGGAGCCGCAGGGAAAC